CCAUCACCCCGCCAGGCCCCCGCUGCUCUCCUCCCCGCCGCUCGGCCGUGCGCGGCGGGCUGCCCCCGAACCUGACCGCUGCCCCGCACCUCUCGCAGGAGAGCGGGGGGUUGGGGCCCGCCUGCCUCCGCCGGGACGGGAGGCUCCCCUGAGCGCUCCCCGGGCCCCAGCAUCACCUGGGCGGGCAGCAGAACCGGAGGUGCCGUGUCGAGGCGGCCGGGAGAGGCGCAGUAAAGUUGUCCCGUACUCUGGCCGGGACAGGAGAGUGCUGGCAGGCUGCUCCGCCCUGCGCCUUCCCCGCCUCGGCUGCUCGGGGGCAACGCCAGCCCGCAGCCGGUGUAGCAGCCUCAGGAAGCGAAGGGUUUGGAGCUGUCAGCUGCUGCAACGUCCCCCCUCCGCGCUGGGUCUCUGUAGUUAUCUCUGCUGCCAGUUGUACUAGUUCCUGGGACUUUCUCCACAAUCUUAAAAGGACGUCAGAGCUUGUAACUUUUGAGCACAAGAGCCUAGUGACAAGGGUGCCUUGCUCUUGCAAACAGGGUUAAGUCAACGCAGAAAAGCUUGUUCGCCUUGUGCAGUUCCUUUCUAGGAUCCCAGGGACAAAACUGUGUGGUGGCCUUAUUUCUGUCAGAAUCAGUUGUCGCUUCUGUCCUGUAGGAAGGUACAUUGUAGUAAUAUGUGUGUGCCAGAGCCUGCUACAGACUACCUUAGUUGCCUUCUGUCACUGUCUUCUAUUUUCUUUUCCUAACUGGCUGAUCUCUUUAACUGUAUACCUUUUGCUGCCAUGGGUUUGGUGUACGUGGUGCUAUCUCCCACUCUAACGUCUCCUGAAAACUUCAUUUGGUUUGCUUGUAAUUAUGUGAUCCAGAAGUCAGCAUAGCUGUUGUUUCCUCCUUGUUUUCUGUCAUACCUCCUCUUCAUGCUUCCAGCUGAAGUUGUUCCAGAGUUCUGAACUUUCUUGCCCUCUAUACACAGAGGAGGAAAGAGGAAAUGUAUCUGUGUACAUGGAAACCUUUUUAUUUUUAAUGGCUAUUUUACACUGUGGUACUGUAUUAAAACAAAUGUUACGAAGAUGUCUUGUAAGAUAGUAAAGAACACAAAUCAAACCUGUAGUAUCUAUUGAUCGUGCCUUAAUGAGCUGGACAAGAUUUUUGUACAGGAUGCCAGUAUUGAUCUGUGCUUUGUCUUGGAUGUGACUGCUGUGGAAGAGGGCCAGGGAGGAUGCCAAGGACUGCAUCACUGAUUCUUGACAGCCAGGAACCUGACCAAAACUCCAGCAAAGAACGAAGAGUGCUUUUCUCCCACAAACUCCCAUUUGUGGUGUCAGUCUGUCUUCCAUUCCUAGAAAUCUGGAGGUGCUGUGGAGGUGGUAGGAAACCUGAGUUUGCUAUACCCUCAUGGCUCCUAGUGGUAACUGCUCAGUGCCUGACAAAGUGGAAAGAACAAAAGUGAACAUUUUUGACUUCAUGAAAGCCUCUUAAAAACAUGCAUUCAUAGUGCAGGCAUGGAGGGCUUGCUCAAAGGUGAGAAGCAAAAAAAAAAGCAGAGGAGCCAAAAUGGACGGCUUCUCUUCAACCAAGGAGAUGGCAGAGGACAGGCUCUCUCCAUCCAGGAAGUUAAAGAGAUCUUCAAAGCAGCGUGUCACAUCUUGCAGUGGUGCAGGAAACUACACAACGGCUGAGGCUGCAACUGCAGAAACAGUUGUCAGAAACACUGAGUGGUAUUGGAAGGUGUGAUCCAUGAAAGCGGCUGUUUUAUCUACAGAUACUUCUCUUGAUGUCCUACUAUGUCAUAUGAGCUUCAUCAGCUGUGGAGUAAACUUUGGAGGCAGUCUGCUACUGGAACACCCUUCAGGAGCACCUUUGCAUGGCAGUGAAAGCAGCAGUGUGGGGGAACAGUGUUGUGGGCUGAUGUGAGAGAGCCUGUGCUGUUUGAGGCCCCCAGCCCUCCUGCCUGGCAACAUGACGAAAGGGUACAAUGAGCUGCUGGCUGCCUUGGUACUUGUUACAACACCCUGCCUGCUCACACUGCUGAAGCACUUGGACUCAGAAAAACAAAGCUGGUGAUGAGACUUGAAGAAACUGAAGUUAAUUUGCCCUGUGCUGGUGGCCCCUGCUAUUUUAUUGAUCUUUGUGUGUGUUACAGCCUGUUUAAUAGAUAUUCCUGAGUCUUUGGCUUGUGCUGGUGCACUGUCCUAUAGAGUGAGCUUGUCUGCUGUGCAUCCAGGUAUUACUGAAAGUACUUGCAGGGCAAAAUGAACCCUACACAUCAAAAUACAGCCAUACAUUCCUGCCCGGAUUGAACCUCUCUACAGUUGCUGAUUUCACUGUCAGUGCAUUUACAUCCAGUGGUUUCCCUCAAGAAGAAAAUGAAACUAAAAGGAAAACAGAACUGAAAGGAAAACUAAUAAAAGCAAAACUCAUUAUUUUAUAGCAUGAAAUAGAAAGACUGUGACCUUGCAGAGCAGAGUGCUUUGGUACACUUUGCAGACCAUGCCAAGUAGUUGUAAGGCUUAGGUAGGGCAUAUGUCCAAAAGGGGCACGUGAAGGUGAUUGUAUCUCUUAUAGCUGUCUGGCCCUUGCAGACACAUCCCUGCUGUCUAGGACCCUUAACAUCUGUGGAAAAAGUUGCUUUGGCAGCCUUAAAAUCUUCUAACCAGCA